CUUAAAUUGUUUUACUUCAUUGUUAUCUAGAUGUUUUGCACUCAAACAGAAUAGAAAAUUAUUUAUUGGACUUUGGAUAUAUGGGGGUGGUUAUGACAUACCUUGUAUGUUGUAGGUCAGUUGCAGAAAUCACAGCUAUGUAUCUUCCAAUUUCUGUCCAAUUUAAGUUCCAACAAUUUGCACUUUCAUAACAUUUUAUAUUUUUUAUUUUAAAAAGGAAAGCGUGAAAAGAUUUGACAACACAAUUUAAAGAAUGUAUUUGGACUAAGUUACAGGCAUAGAAUAUUUGAACCAUUGUUUGCACACCACUGAGAACACAGUGCCUUCUUUUAAAUAAUAGUGAUUUUAUCCUCUAAAACAAAUUGUGAUGGUGGGACCUGGAUACUGUCCACUAUGAUGCUAUGGAAAAUAGUAUCACAUAAGUUAGUCCCUUUUUGAUUUGAUCCUGAGACAGGGGAAAUUCAGUCAGUUUGUUCAGUCAGUGACCAUGUGGAUGUGGUGAGAUUUUUGGAGAUGAACAGGGUGAGAAGAUGUGCACAUCUAUAUCAGUUUCAGAGUGCCUGAGCAAGUGCAGAAAGUCCAAGAUACCAUUCUUAAAGAAAAAAAGGUAAAAAGCCCAUUCUUAAGAAAACCCAUCAGCAAUGGAAUCUGUUUGGACUUCAGAAAACUAAGUAAAGAGCAUUGGACUGGCUUCAUUCAUAAUCUGAGUCAAGAUUUUAUCAGUGGGAUUGUCUGAUGGUUGGAAAUGCAUUUCACAUUAUGGACAUGAAAGAUCCUGUCUCCAUGACAGUGGAGACUUGGUGGCUUUACUUCGCCCUGAGAUCUCUGUCUUGGUUGGAAUGUUGCCUUCCACCAAUGUGAGAUCAGUUUCUUUUACUGAUAGAAAGUCAUGCCCCUUUCCUUAGGAAAACUGUGUUUUUUAUGUAGCUUUGAAAUACGUACUGAUAUCCAGAACACCUCAUACCACUUUCUACAGGAAAAGUGCAUGAAAGUGGGGAAAAUGACCCUCUUAACUUUGGCUACAUGAUCUUUUGUCACAAACAAGAAGUUUCACCAGAAAAAUCACAAAGCAAAAAGUAUAUUGGCCUUUCACAAAAUGAAGCCUGCAUUUGGAUAAGAAAAUGCAGAAAAAUUUCAAAAGUAGUUUGACUUGAUGCAGUUGUGGUUACUACAAGCAUAGAUGUGGUGUGAGGUUCAGCCCUGACUACAGUCAGUGCAAGCAAAUCUCACACCACAGGUGCUGAGAUGAGAAGUAGGCCCAAAGAAACUCAUGUCCUGGUUCAGCAUGUUCCAGCUUUGACAGCUUCAGGGGCAGCAUCCCACUUCAGGAUUCCUACCUUGGAAGUUAGUGUUUCUGCUGGAUUUCUGGGUGCUGCUUUGUCUGGUAUUCAAAAACCUAAGCAACUUUACUGGGAUCAAUAGGAAGCACUGAUCUGUCCCUCAGCCUUUCCCAGACUUCUCCCUUGUGGCAGCUCCAGAGUUUUGACACUCCAAGUGGACUGUGUCUGGCUCCAGGUAAAGUGUCAAUAUUUUUCAUCUGACAGUACAUGUAUUUUCAUAUACAUUAAAAAAGCAGGUUCAGCAGCAUCAAACAAGUCUGAGAAUUUGAUUUCAUUUUAUCAAGUUACUUGUCCAAACCAACCAAACAAAAAGUAACUUCCCUUAAACUCCUUGAAAUAAAUUGGAAGACACAUUUUGAUUUUUCAUUGCUACACUUUAAAAUAAAUGAUACAAUUUUUUUGGUUGGAAUAUACUAUACAUGUUCAAUUUCCCUUGAAGUGUGUUUUUAAAAAGUAAAUAAACCCAAAAUCACAAUGAAAUGUCCACUUCAGAUUAAGUUAAAUAUUUCAUGUAGUUUAAAAUGUUGUUUAAAAAAAGUGGUUUUGCUCAGUGUUUUUCACUUUUUCUGAUCUUCCUGUGAGUGGAAGCAUCAACAACUACAAAACUUUAGUUACUGACUCUUUGAUUUAACUUAAUUCCUGGAAAAAAGGCUGGUUUUCUGUCACUUAUAAGUAGGCUCCUACAGACAGUAUUAGUCCUCAUUUUUCAGGAUCUUAAGCUGCCAGGUACAUGUGUUUAAAGGACACAUAACAGAUUAAACAUACAGAAGGCAGAGUGCAGAUGGCAUGUAAACCAGGCUUCUUUCAGUUUAGACAAAUCAGAAAACAGUCACUCAAAAUAGAGAAAUACCUACUGCUAUUUUCUCUCUUGAUUGAUUCUACUCUUUUGAGUAUUCUUUAGGAUUCAGUCAGCCUUUUUUUGUGGACAUCUCUGUUUAUUCUGAUCCUCCUACUAUUUCCCAUACCAAGUAACUUUUGACUCUCCUGAUCAACUCUAGAUCAAGGUAGCAUCAGGGCAUUGCUCUGCAGACUAGACAAAAAAAGAAACUUCUUUUUUGUCAAUUCAGAUGUCCAUACUGAUCUUACAAGUAAGGCACAGAUGCUUAGGAUCAUUCUUUUUCAAAUUAGCCAUAAAACAGACACAUGGUACACCACAAAGCCACCUAUACAUCAUACUGUCUGAAAAAAUCAAUCUAGAACUUACAAACUGUGUGGUGGGUUAAUCCUGGCUAGCAGCCAACUGCCCACCCAGCUGUACUCCACAUCCUCAGCUGGACAGGGGGAUAAAAUAAGAAAAAAACAAGAAUGAGAAAGCUUAUGGCUUGAGGUAAGGACAGGGAGAUCAAUUGUCAGCUACUGGUAUUGGCAAAAAAGGCUCAACUUUGGAAAAUGAAUAUAAUUUAUUGCCAGUUCAAAUAGAUUUGGGUAGUGGGAAACAAGAACACAAAUACUAAAACAACUCCUUUGCUUCCCCCUUCCUGAAGUUUAACAUCCCCCCGCUUUAGUCCUGACUCCUCUCACAGCCCCUCGGAGCAUUGUGGAGAGGAUGGGGAAUGCAGGAACGAAGGCUGGCAGUACAGAGAGACAACUCCAGCAACAUGCAGAGGGAGGAGAGGCAAUGAGAGAGGCAUUUUGUCUGUAGGUGCAAUUAUUUGUCACUGAAGAGAAGUACUAGCCUUUUCCAGAACAAUGGGAGAAAAAAGAUGAUGCUUUUGUUGUCACAGCUGUGGUCAUAAUGCAAGUAUUAAAGCAUUGGGUGCAGGGAAGCCGCAGGGCAAGAUGCAAUGCUGCCUGAUCAGCCAAACAGAGGGUGAGUGAGCUAAACUUAGUAGUGCCUCCCCACAGCAGAGUUACUAACCUUGUCCCUGCUCUCCUUCCACUUUCAAUUCUCAUGAGUUAUGUAGAAACAUACUUAUCUUUGAUAUUUCAGGUUGGAUUAAAAUAGGACAAUGAGCACAUAAGUUAUU